CUUAGAACAAGAAAAGGCUCUGAAACAGAUCCAAGAUGUUGUUUGAGCCAUGCAACUAGAAGAUCUCAUAGAACUAAAGUUAUCUAAUUUACAGAAAAGGUUUUACGUGACGUCUAUUGUACAGAUUCAUAUGAAAACCAUAGUUCAAACUCCAAGGUUUAAGAAGUAAGAAAGAUCAUGCCAUUUGCAACAAACAUGCAUGCAUAUUUGAAAAGCAACUGUAAGUAUGCUAUUGGACAUUGGUAAAGAUUGAAUAUCUGACCAUGGCAUAUCAAGAAACCAUGGAAUGAGUACUGCUUAUCAAGAUCUGGGUGUGAGAAGACUUAAAAAGUCAGAUAGUCAGUGAGAACCAGCUAGAAUCCAUGAUCUGUUGUGGGAAAACUAGAAGACCAAAAAAAGCACGAAAGUCAAGAAAGAAGUCUCUUUUCACAUGAAAGUGGCUGUGCUAAUGGUCUAUCAAGAUAUCCUGAGUUUCCAGUAGAGAUGUUUCAGCCAUAACACAGGCCUGGUAGAAAAAUAACUAGGAGACCAUGUCCCUUGGCAUAAGUAUUGAUCUUCAAUAAUUUGUCCUUGAUAUUGAGAGAAGAGGAUCAAACUAUUUGAACCGGAUUGCUGUACUUCAACAUGUAAAGUGAAAAUGCAGACCCAGUUGACUAUAUUUCACUCAUUUGGGCCAAAGAAGCAGAAGUUUAUUAACAAAGAAGGAGAAUAACAAAAGAAAUAUAAGAUGGAAAGAAAAGCAAAAAGAAAGAAAACUAAAGAAAAAGCAAAAGAAAGAAUACUAAAUCUGAAAUACAUUUUCGUCCCCAAAUCAAGUUGGUGCAUAAAGUUCAAAUGUUUUCCUGAUUUUGAAUUUGCUUUUAAUAUCCUUGUGCUUUAAUGAUGCAUUGUCUUUUUCUGCAGAAAC
rnacentral:lncRNA from 1 species